AGCAAGGGAACAAAGAGAAAAAGAGAAGAACAAACCCAAGGAAGGAAAAAUUCAAGAGAAAUUGUUGGAUUUCAAGGAAUCAAACAAGUAAAGGUAAGAUUUUUUAAUUUUAGCUUGUGAUCUACCUUUCCCAUGCAUUCUUUUUCAUUCUCCAUGGCUGAAAUUCAAGUUUUCAAGAGGGAACCUUUGCUGGCCAAACCUAGAGAGUGAAGUUUUGGUGAUGAAUUUUGCUAGAUUUCAUAAUAUCCUAGUGUUUUUAGUCAUUUUGUGAUGUUUGAAAGGAAAAACAAGCAAGAAAAUCACAUGUUCUUCAACCACCCUCAUUUGGCAGAAUUUUCUAUAGGGCAUGUUGUUGAUGGAUUUGGUUGUAAAUCAUGUUAUUUAGCUAGGAAUUGAUGAAUUAUGGUAUCGGAUAUCAAAAUCGAAAUGAAUUUCAGUUACGAUGAAUUAAGUCACAAUUAAGCUCAUUGAGGUACUUUGGUGUAUUUGGAAUUUUGGAAGUGUAAUGAAGAUAUUUGGAGUUGAAUUGGAUGUUUUGGCUAAUUAAACAAGGCAUAGUGCGAGUUAGGUCGAAUGCCAAUUCAGUCCGAUCAUAAUUGAACUCACGUAGAACACCGUCUUUAAAUGAUUAUUCGGACAAUUCUCAUUCAAUGUCAUGCAUUCAUAUAGAGCCUAAAAUAGUUUUAUAAUAGUUUGGCACAAAUAUAUUGAAUUACGUGUCGUGUAUUAUGUAUAGGUGGUGAGCUCUCUGAUAAGGGUAAAGAUAUUGAUAUUGUGCCCGAGGACCAAGAAUAUGAGUACUCCAAACUCCUACUAUUGUGAGUAAUCAGAUGUUCAUCUUAAUUAUCUAAAGUAGUUUAUACUUGUUUUAAUAUUUUAGAGAAUAAGGCACUUAAUUUGCAAAUUAUUAUGUUUUACAUUUUAAAUGUUGGUUAAAUGAAUGAGAUUUAUAAAUUAUUUUGAAACUAAAUGUUGAUUUUCGAAAUAGAGUAAGUGGAGGCUAUAGUUUCGUAUUAUAUAUAUAUAUACAUGAUUUGAAUUGAUGGCUUAUGAAAUUGUGGUAGUAUGAAUGGCUGAAAUUGUGGUUUUGUGAAUUAUAUAAAUUGUUUUGUCUUACAUUGACAGGUUGGAUAGUACUAUAUUAGCCAUGUUAUGCUGCCGAAAUUUUAUUGAUUUAGUGGGUUAUGUAUUUAGCUUACUGCAGUGGAGGGAUUUUCGUGGACCAGCCUAUUAGAAGGGUAUGGUAAACCCCAUUAUAUUUUACCUUAGUAUGAGAGGCAUGGAGGGUAUCUCCUAAGGUAAGUUUAGAGUUCACUUCACGUCGAACCACCACGUAAGGAUGAAACUCAGCCAACGCCAAGGAAUGGCUAUAUUUUAAAAGUAAAAACAUGUUUUAUGGAUAUAUGUCAUUUUAACAUCCUUGGCGGACUCGGUUGGAUGCCCGGGCCAAGGUGUCACUGAGUAUAAGUUUUGGCACAAGCCAAGUUUUUAAGAGAAUCAUAAGCCUUGUUGAUUAGUUUGAUGAAAUGUAAUUGUUUUAUAGGAAUUGAAAUGAGUUUUGAAUGUUAUGAACUAUAUUAUGAUAGGAUGAUUUAACUGUCUCCAUUUACUCGACUUUAGAUGUUAUAGAUGAAUUUUGCUUACUCAUUGAGUUUGUAAAAACUCACCCCUUCUUUUUAUCCAUUUCAGGCUCAGGACAGUCUGUAGACAGUCGAUUUUGUCGAGGGUUGCUUUUGGAUUUGCAUCUUUAGAAAUCGAAGGUCUACAGUCUUGUAUAUUUUCAAUUAUUUUGGGGCUCACAUGUCAUUAUAGAAUAUUUUCGUAUACUUGGUUUAAUGUGCUAUUAUAUAUAUGAAUUUAUUUUGCUCUUACGCUACAAAAAUUGUUUAUGCAGGAUUCUAUAAAUAUUGUUUUAUAAGAAAAUGGAAUAUUUUAUUUAAUAUUUUUAUUUAGUUUGAUUAGCCAAAAUUUCAUUUUAAAUGGAUGCUUAUUACUUGUAUAUCAUAUUUUUACCAAGGUUCCAAAAUUUUAGGUAAAAUGACCAAAAUACCCUUGUGUAGUAGAAAUUACUUUUUGAUUGUUUUUGAUUUGAAAUUAGUCUAUAUUUCUUUAAAACAUGAUAUUUAAUAACUGUUGCUCAUAGGGGAGAAGUAAAACUGAUGCGAAAGCCUUGCGAGGUUUCGGUUGGCAUUCCGGGUAAUGAAUGUCAAUCGAGAGAUCGCGGCAGUUGUCAUCGGCUCGAUGGGAGUACCGGGUCAUGACAAGUCAUUUCAAAGAAGAGAAUUUAGGGUCACAAAUAAAAAGAUGGUUGCUUUAUUUGACAAAUAAAAGAUGGAUAUAAUUAAUUGAAAUGGUAUUAUAUUUCCAUGUUCUAGUUGGAAAUAUCAAAUAUGCC
rnacentral:lncRNA from 1 species